rnacentral:rRNA from 1 species
UACGGAGGGAGCUAGCGUUGUUCGGAAUUACUGGGCGUAAAGCGCGCGUAGGCGGCUUUGUAAGUUAGAGGUGAAAGCCCGGGGCUCAACCCCGGAAACUGCCUUUAAAACUGCAUCGCUUGAAUCCGGGAGAGGUGAGUGGAAUUCCGAGUGUAGAGGUGAAAUUCGUAGAUAUUCGGAAGAACACCAGUGGCGAAGGCGGCUCACUGGACCGGUAUUGACGCUGAGGUGCGAAAGCGUGGGGAGCAAACAGG